AGGUGGGCACACAUUACAGGUAGGCAACCAUUACAGGUGGGCAACCAUUACAGGUGGGCACACAUUACAGGUGGGCAACCAUUACAGGUAGACACACAUUACAGAUGGGCACACAUUACAGGUAGGCACACAUUACAGGUAGGGACACAUUACAGGUGGGCAACCAUUACAGGAAGGCACACAUUACAGGUGGGCACACAUUACAGGUAGGGACACAUUACAGGAAGGCAACCAUUACAGGUUGGCACACAUUACAGGUGGGCACACAUUACAGGUAGGCACACAUUACAGGUAGGCACACAUUACAGGUAGG